rnacentral:rRNA from 1 species
UACAGAGGGUGCGAGCGUUAAUCGGAAUUACUGGGCGUAAAGCGUGCGUAGACGGUUCUGUAAGUCGGAUGUGAAAUCCCCGGGCUCAACCUGGGAAUUGCAUUCGAGACUGCAAAGCUUGGGUGCGGAAGAGGGAAGCGGAAUUUCCGGUGUAGUGGUGAAAUGCGUAGAUAUCGGAAGGAACAUCAGUGGCGAAAGCGGCUUCCUGGUCCAGCACCGACGUUCAGGCACGAAAGCGUGGGGAGCAAACAGG